rnacentral:rRNA from 1 species
UAACGAUACGGGACUCAUCCGAGGCCCCGUAAUCGGAAUGAGAACACUUUAAAACCUUUAACGAGGAUCAAUUGGAGGGCAAGUCUGGUGCCAGCAGCCGCGGUAAUUCCAGCUCCAAUAGCGUAUAUUAAAGUUGUUGCGGUUAAAAAGCUCGUAGUUGAAUUUGUGUGCCACACUGUCGGUUCAUCGCUCGCGAUGUUUAACUGACAUGAUUGUGGGACGUCCUACCGGUGGGCUUAGCCUCUCACGGGGCGGUCCAGCUAAUUACCCAUCGCGGUGCUCUUCAUCGAGUGUCGAGGUGGGCCGGUACGUUUACUUUGAACAAAUUAGAGUGCUCAAAGCAGGCUACUUUCGCCUGAAUACUGUGUGCAUGGAAUAAUGGAAUAGGACCUCGGUUCUAUUUUGUUGGUUUUCGGAACCCCGAGGUAAUGAUUAAUAGGGACAGAUGGGGGCAUUCGUAUUGCGACGUUAGAGGUGAAAUUCUUGGAUCGUCGCAAGACGAACAGAAGCGAAAGCAUUUGCCAAAAAUGUUUUCAUUAAUCAAGAACGAAAGUUAGAGGUUCGAAGGCGAUCAGAUACCGCCCUAGUUCUAACCAUAAACGAUGCCCGCUAGCGAUCCGCCGAAGUUCCUCCGAUGACUCGGCGGGCAGCUUCCGGGAAACCAAAGCUUUUGGGUUCCGGGGGAAGUAUGGUUGCAAAGCUGAAACUUAAAGGAAUUGACGGAAGGGCACCACCAGGAGUGGAGCCUGCGGCUUAAUUUGACUCAACAC